rnacentral:rRNA from 1 species
AGCAGCCGCGGUAAUUCCAGCUCCAAUAGCGUAUAUUAAAGUUGUUGCAGUUAAAAAGCUCGUAGUUGAAUUUCGGGGUCAGCAAGUCGGUCGUGCCACCGGUAUGUACUGGCUUUACUGAUUCCUCCUUCUUGUAGAACCAUAAUGCCAUUAACUUGGUGUUGCGGGGAAACAGGACUGUUACUUUGAAAAAAUUAGAGUGUUUAAAGCAAGCUAACGCUUGAAUACAUUAGCAUGGAAUAAUGAAAUAGGACGAACGAUCCUAUUUUGUUGGUUUCUAGGAUUGACGUAAUGAUUAAUAGGGAUAGUUGGGGGCAUUAGUAUUCAAUUGUCAGAGGUGAAAUUCUUGGAUUUAUUGAAGACUAACUACUGCGAAAGCAUUUUGCCAAGGAUGUUUUCAUUAAUCAAGAACGAAAGUUAGGGGAUCGAAGACGAUCAGAUACCGUCGUAGUCUUAACCAUAAACUAUGCCGACUAGGGAUCGGAUGAUGUUAAUUUUAUAAUGACUCAUUCGGCGCCUU